rnacentral:hammerhead_ribozyme from 1 species
GCACUGGUGAGGAGUCCCACAAUAGGACGAAACGGCAGUCUAGUGC